rnacentral:tRNA from 1 species
AAGUAUUUAGUAAAGCUUGAUUUUUUAAUUUUACAAAUUAAAUUAUUAAACCAUAUUUU